AGGGCACUUUCGGCGGCUGGUUCGGCGGCCGAAACCCCCCUCCAGAGACGAAACUCAUGCAUGUUCGGCGGCACCUUCGGCAGCCGAAAGUCUCGUCCAGAGAUGAAACUCACAUACUUUCGGCGGCCGAACUCCCUCUUUCGGCGGCCGAAAGACCUUUUCUAAACCGAAAGCCUAGCUUUCGGGGGCAAGCUUUGGCAGCCGAAACUGCCUCCUC
rnacentral:lncRNA from 1 species